UCAUAAACAAAAAGAGCAAACCUAGAGAACUGAAACAUCUUAGUAUCUAGAGGAAUAAAAAGCAAACGCGAUUUCCUUAGUAGUGGCGAGCGAAAAGGAACAAGCCUAAACCGUUCUUUUAAGAACGGGGUUGUGGGAGAGUUCUCUAAAGAGAAAAAGAUAGUAAGAGAAAUAAUUGAGCAUUUAUACCUUAGAAGGUGAGAGUCCUGUAACUGACCUAUUCUUUUUCUUCGAACUCUAUCCCGAGUAGCAUGAGGCACGUGAAACCUUGUGUGAAUCUGCGAGGACCACCUCGUAAGGCUAAAUACUCCUGAAUGACCGAUAGUGAAAUAGUACCGUGAGGGAAAGGUGAAAAGAACCCCUGGCGGGGGAUGAAAAAGAUCAUGAAACCAUAAGCUUACAAGCAGUGGGAGAAAACAAAAGGAUUAUUUUGACCGCGUGCCUGUUGAAGAAUGAGCCGGCGACUUAUAAGCGGUGGCCUGGUUAAAGAGUUCCUGAAGCCAUAGCGAAAGCAAGUCAUACCAAGGCAUACGUCACUGUUUAUAGACCCGAACCCGGGUGAUCUACCCAUGGCCAGGAUGAAAUUUGCAUACAACCAAAUGGAGGUCCGAACCGACUGGUGUUGAAAAACCAACGGAUGAGCUGUGGAUAGGGGUGAAAUGCCACUCGAACCCGGAGCUAGCUGGUUCUCCCCGAAAUGCGUUGAGGCGCAGCGGUUGAUUAGACUGCCUAGGGGUAAAGCACUGUUUGGGUGCGGGCUGUGAAAACGGUACCAAAUCGAGGCAAACUCUGAAUACUAGGUAUAGCAUAAAAUCAGCCAGUAAGACCUUGGGGGAUAAGCUCCAUGGUCAAAAGGGAAACAGCCCAGAUCACCAGUUAAGGCCCCUAAAUGACCGCUCAGUGGUAAAGGAUGUGGAAGUGCAGAGACAGCUAGAAGGUUUGCCCAGAAGCAGCUACCCUUGGAAGAGUGCGUAAUAGCUCACUGAUCGAGCGCUUCUGCGCCGAAAAUAAAUGGGACUAAGCGGUCUGCCGAUGCUGUGAGGUGUUGCAAAUGUACACCGGUAGGGGAGCGUUCUGUCCGGUGAAGAAAUGAACUUUCACCAAAGUUUGAAUUAGUGCUUGAUUUAUACUAUAUAAGUCCAGCAUUCAACAAGCAGGGCAGAAGUGAGAAUGUCGGCUUAAGUAACGAAAACAUCGGUGAGAAUCUGAUGCCCCGAAAACCCAAGGGUUCCUGCGCUAGGUUCGUCCACGUAGGGUGAGUCAGAGCCUUAGAUCAAGCCAAAUGGCGUAGUUGAUGGUUAACAGGUUAAGAUUCCUGUACUAUUUUUUCUUGAUCCUAGAGGGACGAAGUCAAUGUAGGGGAAUAAUUCCAUAACCGGCAGGAUAAGAUGGCCAAAAGAAAACCCGAAACUUAAAAAUAAAACAUUCAAGUAUCGCGUUUACAUCUGUGUUAUCCCUAUUGUACUUCCUAGAAAAGCUUAAUGGAUGUUGAUGCUGCUGUCUUACGAUUAGGCAAAAACAAGAAAAAAUAUCUGUACCGUAGACCGACACAGGUGGGUAGGUUGAGAAUACCUAGGGGCGCGAGACAACUCUCUCUAAGGAACUCGGCAAAAUAGCCCUGUAACUUCGGAAUAAGGGGUGCCUUCUCAUCAAAGAGGCUGCAAAUGUUUUUUUUUGUAGUCUUUUUGGUCAGAAGGUUGCAGUGACCAGACCCAGGCGACUGUUUAACAAAAACACAGGUCUCCGCAAAGUCGUAAGACGAAGUAUGGGGGCUGACGCCUGCCCAGUGCCGGAAGGUUAAGGAAGUUUGUUCCCUGAAAUCAGGAAAGCAAAUAACCGAAGCCCCGGUGAACGGCGGCCGUAACUAUGACGGUCCUAAGGUAGCGAAAUUCCUUGUCGGGUAAGUUCCGACCCGCACGAAAGGCGUAACGAUCUGGGUACUGUCUCGGAGAGAGACUCGGUGAAAUAGACUUGUCUGUGAAGAUGCGGACUACCUGCACCUGGACAGAAAGACCCUAUGAAGCUUUACUGUUUCUUGGGACUGAAUAUGGGUUUUUUAUGCGCAGUCUAGGUGGGAGGCUAUGAAAAAAUCUUUCCGGGGAUUUAUGAGCCAUCUAUGAGAUACCACCCUUAAAAAACUAAGCUUCUAACUUUGCCCCUCGAAGAAGGCCCAAAGGACCCUCCCAGGUAGACAGUUUCUAUGGGGCGUAGGCCUCCUAAAGAGUAACGGAGGCGCGCAAAGGUUUCCUCAGACUGGACGGAAAUCAGUCUUUGAGUGUAAGGGCAAAAGGAAGCUUGACUGCAAGACCUACAAGUCGAGCAGGGACGAAAGUCGGCCCUAGUGAUCCGACGGUGCCGAGUGGAAGGGCC
rnacentral:rRNA from 1 species